AGGGGAUUUUUGAGGGACAGUGCUUCCAAGUUUGUGUCACCGGUGUGCUGAGGAAGGGACCGGUCUUGCUGGAAAAAGUCAGAUUGCGUGGUGUUUGGUAGCAAGAAAUACCAGGCGGUAUCCUGGCCGUUUCAGAAACCACAGGAAAGGAAAGAGGCUGGCUUUGCAGUCGGGAGGGCAGGCACUGGAUGGACGUUCUUGUAAUGUUUUCUUCUUACUCUGGGAGAGUCCGUUUUUGUUUGUUUUUUUGUUUGAACUGUGGUUUCCAAUACUUAUCUACAGGAAUCGCCAUGACCCCAGCUCUGAGGGAGGCAACAGCAAAGGGUAUCAGCUUUUCAUCUUUGCCAAGUACCAUGGAGUCUGACAAGAUGCUCUACAUGGAAAGUCCCAGAACUGUAGAUGAAAAGCUAAAGGGAGACACCUUUUCUCAGAUGCUUGGAUUUCCAACUCCUGAACCUACUCUUAAUACUAAUUUUGUGAAUUUAAAACAUUUUGGCUCCCCUCAGUCUUCAAAACAUUACCAGACUGUUUUUUUAAUGAGAUCUAAUUCUACAUUAAAUAAACACAAUGAGAAUUAUAAACAAAAGAAAUUAGGGGAGCCCAGUUGCAAUAAGCUGAAAAACAUACUGUAUAAUGGCAGCAACAUUCAGCUCAGUAAAAUCUGUCUUUCUCAUUCUGAAGAGUUCAUCA
rnacentral:sRNA from 1 species